rnacentral:SRP_RNA from 16 species
UGGAGGAUAUUCUAGAGGGGGGAAAUACUGCACAGAUUCACGGCCCCAGUGAAGGGCUAAAGAUCGCACCAGGAUUC